GGAAAUUUCUCUCUCUUGACCAAUUUUCUCUGGAUCAACUUGAGAGACCUUAAACAUUAUGAAAAUAUUGAGUGUCCUUUAUGCUGUAAACUCUUAAUACCAGGGACCUUAAAAAAAAUUCUCCCAAAAAAUAACCUAUUUAUUAGGAGAUUAAAUAGUUGUUUUUAAAUUUUAAAAACUGUACUCUCACGGAAAAAAUUCAAAAUUGUUUUGUCACAAAAUGACAACAAUAUAAAAACAAUGGAGUGUUUCAAAUUUGUUUUUUUUUUUUUUUUUUAAAUAUUCUUCUUCAAAAUCACUAAAAAUGAAUAGGAAUGAAAUGAAAACAAUAUAUACUUACAUCUUGAUCAAGAACAAAUAUUGAGUAUAAUUGUCCCACUAUCUUACUUCCCAAAAUAAAUUAAGCCACUAGAAGAAAAAAAGAUUUUUCUAACAUUUUCUAAAUCCCGGUAAAAGUCUCAAAAACGCUAGCAAAAGUCUUUCCGGCGUUUUUCUAGAUAAUUUUGACAAAUCCCGACAAAAGCAGUGUAAAUUUUUUUUAUUAAUAAUACUACCAUGUCAUAUUCAAUCCCUCAGUGAAGGUUAGAUCCAUAAAAAGAAGUUUGAAAUUAUAGGAGAGUACUACAGCCUUUUCUAAAGUCUUUUCCACAAAAUUGACCUUUUACUUGCCAUUUCUCCAGUGGUUAGGGUAGGCCUUUCUUGAAGAAGUCCUAAAGAAUUUAAGUCUAAAAUUUUAGAUAUUGGUUACUUCUUCAUAGGGCAACCACCACAAAGAAUUAAAGUAAAAAAACACAGAAAAACACUGCCUUAUUGAUUAUAGUAUAAAAAAAAAAAAUACAGUAAAAGCUGACCAGUUCAUUGCUUGCUCUCACCUGUUGGAUCAUUAGUUACUUGCAUUGCAUCAGGUUAAGAAUUAACAAAGAAAGAGGUCAUCAAUCUCAGGUCUCCCCUCUUUCCUUGGAAAUUACCAACUCAACCCCCAAUCUUUUACCAAUUCCACCAUUUUCCAAUUUUCAUUUUUUUUAACCAGUGAUUUGACCAGUAGCUUUAUUAGCUUCGAAGCAAUCAAAAUGCUCAUACCAAAUAAGAUCACAAAAGUGUUUAAAAUAUAAAGUUUAUAAAUUAUAUCUAUUUUUAUAUUUACCCAAUUUAGAUGUACUUUAAAGUAAUUUAAAAGUAAAGUAUACAUGUGAAUUUUUUUAAAAGUUCAAUAAAAAAAUAUUUUAAAAAAAACGAAGAAAAAAACAGUUUUUGAAACCAAACAAGUUGUCUAAAACUUUUUCCUUUAUAAAAUUCCUCAACAAAAUUAACUUUUUGACUAUUUAAAUUUUUUUGACUUAGUUAUAAAAGUAAAAUAAUAAAAUUCACCACUCAAAAUCAAUAUCAAUAACUUACGAUUUUACAUAUUAUUUUUAAAAAAUAUAUAUUAAUCAGGCGUGUGGCACCGCUUCUUCAAGCGAUGACAAAUGGAAGCAUCUCUAAACUUAAAAGAUUCUGAGUGUUUUAAAACUCUUUCGACGGACGAACCAAGGAGGAUUUAUGUCAAUCCCAUUUCUACUUUUUAGUAUUACUUAUGGGUGCUG